GUCGGAGGCGAGCGUUAGGCUGCCCUCUGGUGGCCGCCUCCCGCCUCACACUGGACGCCCGCGGCAGUGUACCCUCACCCAGCCAGCCCCUGGUUCUGGUUUCCUCUAGCCAAAUUGGUAAACGCCAGGAAGCAGCAGCAGGGUUGAGCCUGGGGCUGAGGACCUCAGAGGGUUGUUUCCCCGAUCUGCAGUUCUACACUCUCUGCAAAGCGGCGGCUGCCAAAGAGGGAUCGUCAGAAAAGCAGCAUGAGAAAAUCGCAGACUGAGCCUCAGUGUACUGAUGCCUCUGGAUUUGAUAACUACACGUAAAGGUGACUGUGGAGCUUCCACCUGAGACGCAAAGCUGCACUUCACAGACUUCAAGCGACGUGAAGGCUGGAAGGUCUUAAUGUGUCACGAGAGGGGUAAGGGUGGGAAAUGGAAAAUCAGACAUAACACCACCUAAUUUGUUGUACUUAAAAAACUGAUCUACUUUCCAGAUUCGAAAUCAAGACAGUACAGCGUGCAGGUUUAAAAAAACCAUCUGUGUUUAUUAUCCAAACGAUGAGUGUUAACUCGAAGCAUGCACCUUGAUCAAGCACCAGAGGAGUGGGGCAAAAACAAAACAAUUCUCAAAAAAAAAAAAAAAAAACAAAAAAAAACAAAACAAAACAAAACCCUCUAAGCAACCUUUGCUUCUCGGACUGACAAAUGCGUGCCUAUGUGGUAUGCCAGAGAACUCAAAGAAAUGAUAGAAAGACUCGCUGGAAAUUGUGAUCUACCUGAUAUCAGUGCUAUGAACUAAACUCAGGUAGUGUGGAGCCAUUUCUCCAGCACCAAGGAUAUUUAUUGUAGAAAAUAUACCUGGAUGUAUAACAGCAAGAAAUAAAUUACAUGAAAUAUAUACACAUAUAUGUACAUAUACACAUAUACAUAUGCAUAUAUAUAUGCCAUUAAGAACACUGUUCAAUGAAUAGUUUCUGUUUGAGAAGCUUUAAAACCUCUGGUGACGAUGGAGGUAAUGGCUGUAAAAUAAUGUGUAUGAGAUGCCAUUGAAAUACCCACUUAAAAUGGCUAGGAUAGGGGCUGGAGAGAUGACGGCUUAGUAGGUGAGAGCAUUGGUUGCUCUUCCAGGGGACCAGGGUUCCAGUCAUCCACUUGGCAGCUAACCACUGCCUGCAACCCAGUUCUAGAGGAUUAGACCUUCUGCCUCUGCCCUCUGAAGGCACUGCACACAGUGGUGCUCAGACAUAUAAGCACGCAAAGCACAUCAAGUAAAAUCCAAAACAACCUUUUACAAAAUGAAUAAAACCAUGAGGGGUGUUAUAUACAGUUUGCUAGAAUAAGAAGUGAUGCUGUAGGGGCCUGAGAGGGCCAGCAGGUCAGGGUGCUUGCCGUCAAGUCUGACAAUCUAAGUCCGAGAUCCCUAGGACCCACAUGGUAAGGUGAGUAAGGAUGCUCACCGUGUCCUUUGCUCUCCAAAUGCACAUGCAUGGACACACGCGCGUGCACACACACACACACACACACACACACCCAAGUGACAUUAAGUUAUGCUGUAAUGAUACGUACUGACACAAAGAGAUAUUCACAACACAUGGAUGUGGUGCGUUUGGUGUUAAACAGCCUUCAUAGGCUCACAUGCCUCUGCGGUCCUCAGUGCGGGAGGCUGGUUUGGAAAUAAGGGAUUCUUUAUUAACAGGCUUCGUUUCCUGUUCUUUGCUUCCUGAGUAUGAUGGUCCAGGCAGCCAUCACAUCCCUGCCUGCUCCUGAAUCUUCCCUGAAAUGAUAGCCUGUAAGCCAUUGGCAUAACCAGCCAAAGUAAUAAACAUCUGCCCCUCCCC
ensembl:lncRNA